rnacentral:rRNA from 1 species
ACGGAGGGUGCGAGCGUUAUUCGGAAUUACUGGGCGUAAAGGGCGUGCAGGCGGUUUGGCAAGUCUGAUGUGAAAGCCCCGGGCUUAACCCGGGAAGAGCAUUGGAAACUGUUGGUCUUGAGUUCUGGAGAGGAAGGGAGAAUUCCCGGUGUAGAGGUGAAAUUCGUAGAGAUCGGGAGGAACAUCAGUGGCGAAGGCGCCCUUCUGGACAGCAACUGACGCUGAGACGCGAAAGCGUGGGGAGCAAACAG